GGGGCUCGGAGCGAGCCAGGGACGACGGAAGGGACGGGCAGGUGUGGGCGCGGGGCCGCUCAGCCCGACGGCGGGAGUCGCAGCCACUCGGUGCAUGGGCCAGUGAGGACGCGCGGAGAUCCCCGCGCCGCGGCGAAGGCGGAGCAGCGCGGGAGCAAGGCGCUGCCCGGCGACCCUGCGUCCGAGCGAGCGGAACCUUGCGCUUCGCCCGGGGACGGUCCGAAGUCCGCGCUAUGGAAGAGGAGAAAUAUUUGCCUGAGCUGAUGGCAGAGAAAGAUAGCCUGGAUCCAUCUUUUGUGCAUGCAUCGCGCCUUUUGGCGGAAGAAAUUGAAAAAUUUCAAGGUUCUGAUGGAAAAAAAGAAGAUGAAGAAAAGAAAUAUCUUGAUGUCAUCAGCAACAAAAACAUAAAGCUCUCAGAAAGGGUAUUGAUUCCUGUCAAGCAAUAUCCAAAGUUCAAUUUUGUGGGGAAAUUGCUUGGACCAAGAGGAAACUCCUUGAAGAGACUACAGGAAGAAACAGGUGCUAAAAUGUCUAUCCUGGGCAAAGGAUCAAUGAGAGAUAAAGCAAAGGAAGAAGAAUUAAGGAAGAGUGGGGAAGCCAAGUAUGCCCACUUGAGUGAUGAACUUCACGUAUUAAUUGAAGUGUUUGCUCCACCUGGGGAAGCUUAUUCACGAAUGAGUCAUGCACUGGAAGAGAUUAAAAAAUUCCUGGUUCCUGACUACAAUGAUGAAAUUCGUCAGGAACAGCUACGUGAAUUAUCUUACUUAAAUGGCUCAGAGGACUCUGGUCGUGGCAGAGGUAUUAGAGGCAGAGGGAUCAGAAUAGCCCCCACAACCCCUUCAAGGGGCCGUGGGGGCGCCAUUCCUCCUCCCCCCCCACCUGGACGGGGUGUCCUCACCCCUCGAGGGACUACUGUGACUCGUGGAGCUCUUCCAGUGCCUCCUGUAGCAAGAGGUGUCCCUACUCCACGAGCCCGCGGAGCACCGGCAGUGCCGGGAUACAGGGCACCCCCUCCUCCAGCCCACGAGGCUUAUGAAGAAUAUGGGUAUGAUGAUGGCUACGGGGGUGAAUAUGAUGACCAGACCUAUGAGACUUAUGAUAACAGCUAUGCCACCCAAACGCAAAGUGUGCCUGAAUACUAUGACUACGGUCAUGGAGUAAGUGAGGAUGCCUAUGACAGCUACGCACCAGAAGAAUGGGCCACAACCCGCUCCAGCCUGAAGGCACCACCGCCAAGGUCAGCCAGAGGGGGAUACAGGGAGCACCCCUAUGGUAGAUAUUGAAGGUCCUUCUCACCCGUGACCUCACCUCAAAGACAAUUCAUAGCCUGUGGUCUCCACAUAAACAGCAACAAGACAAGUAUCCACAAGCAAAGAGCACAUAAUUGAAUAGCAGAUGUGAUGGCCUAAGAAGGAUAGAGGUAAGCUUAUUUUUUAUCCUCUCCGAAAUAGGGAGAUAAUCUUUACCAACACGGAGCUAUGGCAGUGAGCUAGGACACAAAAUGCCACUUGUUGAAAUACUGAAAAGGUUGAGACUGUUGUGAAGGAAUGGAGUUAUUUUUAUCUUCUUUGAAAUAAAGAGAUCUAACUUGGUAUUUUCCUGGCAAGGCUUUCUGAGCUUAUUCAGAAGCUUGUCAAAUGAAACGUGAAUUAGUUGUUAAUCUUCAGCCUUUUUCUUUGCUACGAAUUACUGUAUAUUGCCUUUCCCUAAUUGUAUGAAGGAAGAGUAUUCAAACCUUUAAUCUGCAUUUAAAAGAAGGAAAUCACAAUUGUUGGCUGAGAUGGAGGGAGUGGGAAAGGGAACCCCAUAACCAGCCUCUCGCCUACCUUUUGUCAAUGAGAUAAUAUUUAUUAACAUGAACAUUUAUUUAGUCAAAUACAAAAACUAAACUUGCUCUUAUUUUCCCCAGUUAUUUCACUGGACUUGUCAAUAAACUUCUUGUUUCUCACCUGCCAUUCUAUUUGAUUCAGCAAAUAUUUACUGAAUCCAAAGCGUUAUAGGAAAUUGAGACUUAAUUUCUGUGCACAAGUAGAAAACUUUAGCCAAUAAACCUCAGACUGAAAACAAUGUAAGGGCAGUUAUGAAAUCCACAGACUGACUUGAGGCUCAGAGAAUUGAAAUGGCCUUGCCACAGCAUUUAAAAUAGGGGUAAAACCCCAAAUUUCUCCUUCUGGGCCUGGUCUUCUUUUUACUACACAAAUAUCUAUAAUACCAUGUAGCCUUAAACAAGUGCCAUAGGAGCAGUAUGAGAGAGCCUGGAGAUAUCUUUAUGACUAAAGGUAGGACAGAAACUAAGGGACCCUGAGAUGAGAGGGGUAGCCUGUCCAUUGAUGAGGAUCAAAGCACCACCUGGUGAAGGGAAUAGGCUGUGUAACUUCAUGGAGUCCAAAAAGUUCAGGAAGUGUUUGAAAGGAAAGCAAUGGACCCUGAGAUCCAGAUUCAUGAAGGCACAGAGGUAAGGUCAAAUCAGAUGGCUGUCCUUGAGUGCUAUGUUAAAUUGUUCAGAUUUUAUGCGAAAAAUAAAAGGAAGCCACUUUUGGUUUGAAGUAAAUAAUCAGAGCUAAGGGAAGUAUCCCAAAGAACCACGGCAAACCACACUUUUUAGUCAGUUUUAUAAUUACUAACUGCCUCUUCAUCUGGGAGAACUUUUCUAAAAAUUCAAACUGUUAAGAUAACUAUUUAAAACUGCAGGUGCUUCAACUAAUCAAGUCCCUUUGUUAAGCUGCAGAAUGAAAGAUCAAAAGUUACAGAGAAUACAAUUCUGAAAUUUCCUUUCUCAGUAACAUUCCAUACCUGAUUUGACUCUUUAAAAAUGUUACUGUUUUUAUAAACCAAGGGGAGAAAGAAUCUCUAAUCCAGAUAUCCUGCAUAGUAUUCUCCUUUGAUCCUUUUCAAACAAUAGGCUUGAUCUUGUAAAGCAAUGAAAGAGAAACCAGUCACUGUUAUUAGUUUGAUAUAUUCAUCAAUAUGUUUUUGUGUCCACUGGAAUUCUUUUAUUAUUGCUGUUGUUGUUUCAUCACCCUGUGGCUUUCUCACCAUUCAGGCUAUAUCUUUGAAUGCAUUAACUCAGGGCAGGGCUGUCAGAGCAGAAACAUCAGUGCUGAUCAACAGAAGAGAACAUUCUUGGCUGCUGAAUUAAAAAGUGAAGAUGUAUGAUAGAGAAAACAAAAGAAGGAAUAAAUCUGACACUGAAGUUCAAUGUUUUAAACAAUGGAGGCCAAAUAAGAAGAGGAUUUGGAUUUGAACAAAUGUGAUUCUGAAGUGACUAUGAAUAACAACCACUGAUUAAAAUAUAUGUGGAACAUAUUAAUAUGUUAAUUAUGCAGCUUAAGAAAGAAGAGGUUAAUCUGGGCUGGGAUUUUAAAACAUGGCUUCAUAGAAGAGGUGAGAUUUGGAUGAAAAGUCAGAUAUGGACAGAAGAACAUUUCAAGAGUGGAUCAUCACAUCCAUAGCCUACAUGUCGUCUUGAGUACAACAGUAAUUUCAGUCAGCCCCUGGGAUGCUGGACCCAUAUGCCAAUGAUCCAAAUAUGUGCAUCUCUUCAGUGACUUCACUUUGGUAGUCAAGUGGACUCUGGUUUUCUUCACCAUGACUUGCUUCACCACUUAACACCCAAGCCUAACACAGAGCCUGGCACAUAGUACAUACUCAGAAAUAUUUGUUGAAUAAAUAACAUGUGAAUGAAUGAAGCUAUGAGAGCAAAGAAUUCUUUCCAACUCUCAUCACAUCAGAUCUUACAUUGUACUGGCCAAAAAGUGAAAGGAGGAAAGAAAUGGAAGCAUAGAAAAGGAGUCAAUGUUCUUCUCUCUACUGUAAAAUUUCACAGACUUGCAAUAAUGUCUCCUCCAAGAAAGAGCCUCCCAGACUUCUCAGUUUGUUUUUAUCUGGAAAGAAGAAAGAGGAAGACAAGAAAGUCUUUACUGCUCACUGUUGGUGCUUCCCACUAAUAAAAACAAAUAUUUCAGCAAAAAGUGAACAGUUUCCAAAUAGCGUAACAAAAACAAAUUGGACAUUCCUACAUUUACCACGGCAGCCUUCUGUUUCCUCUCUGUGAGCACAGUCCUGAUAUCUUAAGGAUAUAUCGAUACUAUGUGCACCCCAUUCCCCUACCUAAAUUUCUGAUCACUAAAAAGAAAGAGCAGGACAUAAUUACAGGAGUAAGCAACAGGGUAUGGUUUUUGACAACAAGGACAGUGAGGCCGACUGCCUGAUUUCAAGUCCUGGGUCCACUAUUUCCUAACAGUGAGAUCACAGGCAAGCCAGACACUGGCUCCUUCAGGACAAAACCCUGUCUCUUCCCCCAUCAAGCCAAGCUGCAUUGGAAUGACCACCCUCUUCUCUGCUCCUGUGGUUUUUCUAUGUUUCUGCUAUACCACAUAUUCUUGGUUAGUAUUUGUCUCCACAUGAGGCUGUCCUGAGGCAGAAUGUGUGUUCAUCUCUAAAUUCCAAGGAUCUACCACACCACCUGACAGUGCAAAAUACAGACUUUCUGACUGAACAGAUGAAUGAAUUGCACAAUCUGACUGUAUUAGAAUGGGUAUAGGAAAGGGUCGUGCUGCUAAUGUGGUGGCAGAGGGCUUCAAGUGUUUGGGGAACACUAGGACAUCUUUUGCUUCCAUGAUGAUGGUAUGACUGGCCACUUCUCUUUCUCAUUACAAAGUCAGAUUCCACUCUUACCCUAACAUAAAGAUAUUGGGACACUGGGCUCCCCAGUGCUGUACCAUAGGGACUAUGUAGAGAUAACAGAAUAACAUGAAAAUAUCGUAAGUAAUUAGAAAGGCAGCUAAUUUCACAAAGACUCAAGCUGGCAUAAUACAGAAGGCCUUUUUAAAGUAUACCUUACAAUGUCAUUAUAUUAAUUCGGUUUUGCUUCUUUGUAUGAAAUUUAAAAUAAAGAAAAAGUGGCAUGUUAGGUCAAUUUGUAUAAGAUCUGAAUAUGAGUUACCUCUGAGAUAAUUCUCUUAAUUGGAACCCCUUUUUUGUGAUUUCACUGCCAUAGCUUUUGAUUCUCAUUUAGAGGGGCAAGGCUGGUCUCAGAAUGCAAUGGCGGCAUUAGAUCAUUGCUUCAGUAUAUUUUUUACUAAGAUACAUGUACAUCAUUCACAAUUUGGCCUGUGAAAACAAAAACUAAUACUAGAGAAGUCUGUGACACACAUCACAGCCUUUAAUGAUGUAGAAUAAGCACUCAUAAAUACUUCAUAGCAAAUAAUAAAUAAAUGAAAUGCAUAAAAGAUGAUGGAGGCUAAUUGAGUGAAUGCAUUUAUCUUCACAAAAGGUCUCUAGACACAUGGUGGUACAAUAUCCUCUACUUCCUGAACUAUGAAACAGAAUCAGUUGUAAGAUAUAGUUAAUGAAAGCUUUUCAGUAAAAAAAAUAAGUAAUCAGCAACUUUUUGGAUAUUGAUUAUGAGAAGCACCCUGAUUUCAAAAUUUAAAAAGUGUGUCUUAUAAAUGAUUUUUAAAAGCUCUAUGUGUCACAACUAAAAACGGAACUGAAUUAAUUUCUAUGUCAGGGAGAAAUGGUUAGCAAAUGUUUUAGACUUCAGUAUUUAACUUAUGUAAUUAUGAUUAUAUAUAACUGUAGAUAAUUACAUGUUAACUUAUAUAAACAUUAUGUUUUAUUGACUUAUUGAUAUCUGUUGGUGAAAAUACUGACUGAGGUUGGUACCUCCUUUGAGAUAUGAAAUAAGUAAAACUUAGACCUAAGUAUGAAAAUCCCACACACUAAUUUAUUAUUGUUGCUACCAGUAAACAUAUUUUCAUGAUGUUUUAGCAUCUAUAGGAUGCUUUCACAAUCAUUUCUCGGUAAUCUGAUUUUAUCCUUAGAUCUAUGCUAUUAGAGGUUAUGAAGAUUAGAGGUUGUACAUUUGAAUACAUACCAUAUAUAUAUACUCGUUUUCUACGAGCUUUUUCCUGAUAAAAGUUAGAUACAAAAGAGUCCAAAUACCUAAUAAAUCUUUCUGAUUGCA